UACGUAGGGUGCAAGCGUUGUCCGGAAUUAUUGGGCGUAAAGAGCUCGUAGGCGGUGUGUCACGUCGGCCGUGAAAACCUGCAGCUUAACUGUGGGCGUGCGGUCGAUACGGGCAUCACUGGAGUUCGGCAGGGGAGACUGGAAUUCCUGGUGUAGCGGUGAAAUGCGCAGAUAUCAGGAGGAACACCGGUGGCGAAGGCGGGAUCUCUGGGCCGAUACUGACGCUGAGGAGCGAAAGCGUGGGGAGCAAACAGG
rnacentral:rRNA from 1 species